ACUGCUUCUUAGGGGCACAGCAGGUGUGGCUACUGUGUCACAUGUGAACUAGGUGGCAGAUAGAGGCUAUGUCUAGAUUCAGUGUUUGGACCAGCGAACAACUGAAUGAUUAGUAGCCUAAAUUU
ensembl:snoRNA LOC120103320 small nucleolar RNA SNORA17